UACAAGUGUAGAUGCCGACGCAGCACUCGAAGCCCAUGUUUGCAGCAGUGAGGAUAUUGUACAGUGUGUGUUGUUCACCAUGGUAAGUCGAGAUCGUAUCAUGGGUCGCAACUUUAAGAGGAAGUCGCUUCCAAAUAACAGAACAAUUGAACGUUCCCUCCCAUAUCGUUCCCCACUUCGUCCACCACAAUGUUGAACUUGGAAUCGAGGUUUGCAAUCUCCCUCUUCACAUUAUCACUCAACUUCCCUUUUGCUUUGUUGGCACGCAACUCUAACACCGCCUCCUGCAGUUUCUGACGUUUGUUUGGAACGAACUCCGGACUGUGGGAGCAAUUUUGUUAUAUGGUCCUGUUCACACAUUGAUGAAAAUACCUGUAUUGCUGUAUAAGAAGUCAAAACAGUAAAUUAACAGACUACACAAAUAAAUGUCAGAAGAGCUGUUUUACAAAACAAGUUACUCAUCCACAACAGACC